GACGAACGCUGGCGGCGUGCUUAACACAUGCAAGUCGAACGGAAAGGCCUGCUUUCCCUUGUGGAUUGCGGGUACUCGAGUGGCGAACGGGUGAGUAACACGUGAGUGAUCUGCCCCCAACUUGGGUAUAAGCCUGGGAAACUGGGUCUAAUUCCCGAUAGGACUGCAGGGUGGUGCCUGUGGUGGAAAACGAUUUUCUAGUGGUUGGGGAUGAGCUCGCGGCCUAUCAGCUUGUUGGUGGGGUAAUGGCCUACCAAGGCGGCGACGGGUAGCCGGCCUGAGAGGGUGGACGGCCACAUUGGGACUGAGAUACGGCCCAGACUCCUACGGGAGGCAGCAGUGGGGAAUAUUGCACAAUGGGCGGAAGCCUGAUGCAGCGACGCCGCGUGGGGGAUAACGGCCUUCGGGUUGUAAACUCCUUUCGACCGCGAGGAAGCCACCUGGUUGGAAGGGUGGUGACGGUAGUGGUAGAAGAAGCACCGGCUAACUACGUG
rnacentral:rRNA from 1 species